GGGGAAUAUUGCACAAUGGGGGAAAACCCUGAUGCAGCCAUGCCGCGUGUGUGAAGAAGGCCUUCGGGUUGUAAAGCACUUUCAGUAGGGAGGAAGGUAGUGUAGUUAACACCUGCAUUAUUUGACGUUACCUACAGAAGAAGCACCGGCUAACUCCGUGCCAGCAGCCGCGGUAAUACGGAGGGUGCGAGCGUUAAUCGGAAUUACUGGGCGUAAAGCGCAUGCAGGCGGCCUGUUAAGUCAGAUGUGAAAGCCCGGGGCUUAACCUCGGAAUUGCAUUUGAAACUGGCAGGCUAGAGUCUUGUAGAGGGGGUAGAAUUUCAGGUGUAGCGGUGAAAAUGCGUAGAGAUCUGAAGGAAUACCAGUGGCGAAGGCGGCCCCCUGGACAAAGACUGACGCUCAGAUGCGAAAGCGUGGGGAGCAAACAGGAUUAGAUACCCUGGUAG
rnacentral:rRNA from 1 species